rnacentral:rRNA from 1 species
UGAGGAAUAUUGGGCAAUGGACGAAAGUCUGACCCAGCCAUGCCGCGUGCAGGAAGACGGCCCUAUGGGUUGUAAACUGCUUUUAUACAGGAAGAAACCCGUCUACGUGUAGACGGCUGACGGUACUGUACGAAUAAGCACCGGCUAACUCCGUGCCAGCAGCCGCGGUAAUACGGAGGGUGCAAGCGUUAUCCGGAAUCAUUGGGUUUAAAGGGUCCGUAGGCGGAUCGAUAAGUCAGAGGUGAAAUCCCACAGCUUAACUGUGGAACUGCCUUUGAUACUGUUGGUCUUGAGUUAUAUGGAAGUAGAUAGAAUGUGUAGUGUAGCGGUGAAAUGCAUAGAGAUUACACAGAAUACCGAUUGCGAAGGCAGUCUACUACGUAUAUACUGACGCUAAUGGACGAAAGCGUGGGGAGCGAACA